UGCCAUGUUCAACCUGAUAAGGGGUCUGGUCUUGCAAAGAAAGUGAAUUUGAAAAUCAUUUUUCUGAUGCACUUCAGAAAUCUUUCAAAAGAAAAAAACUAGCUGACACAUUCUUAGUUUGGAAAGGUUAGAUACAUCUGCAUAAUGGAUGGAAUUUUUUAACUUCCCUGACUUUUUUUGCCUUAUGACAUCUUAGAUACAGGUACAUGUGUAAUGUGUAUGUACAUAUGUGUGUGUGUGUGCACAGCCCUACGUCUCUCUAUGUUACUAGGGUGUAUGUGUGUGUGUGUGUAUAUGGAAAAGAUACUCAUUCUCAAAAAUGUCUCCCUCCCUCACAAACUAAUUUUUACAAUGAUCAUUUGAGUUUGUUUAGAUCUUAAUAGCCUUAUUGUAGGUGGCAGGCUUAAAUGUGCCAUAUUAAUAACUUAUUAUCCAAGACAAAUUAAGUCCUUAUGUGUCGAAAGCACUAGGCACUGGAUUACCUACAAGACAAGUAUUUAUUGAAUAAAUGUUGAGUCCAAUUUCAUUUUAAUGUGACUGACUGUUUCAGCCUCUUAGGCAGAGACAAAAACACUCAAACCUAUAACAGUGUUGCAACAUUACACCUAACUUGUCUAUUUCCAUUAUAAUCUCUUAAUUUAGGAUGUGGAAUGAAGGCCCUUUUCUUGCCUCCUUUCUCUUUCCUUUUUGUUUUUUUCUUUUUUGGUGGUGGUUGUUGUUCUGAAGAGCAAGGGGAGAGAUAGAAAAACGGCUGGCAUUCAGCCUAAAGAGAAAUCAUUGAAACAAAUUAAUCCUAUGCCGUUUAAAUUGACAUGGUAAUCCAUCAUCAGAGAAGGCAACCUCUGAAAGCAAUCUAGAAUCUGCCCUGCUCUUUCCCUGGCCCUGGAGGCACAAAGACAGAUAGUAAAAGAAGGAGGGGGAAAAAUCAUAGAAGUUAGAAAAUAAAAUUGUCUGUAUCAGCUCUCACUGUCCAGCCCCUGCAAGUCUCCUUUGGAAAGGAGAGGUUAACUUUCAGCAGUCGCUCUCCCAAGUCUACCUCUCAGUGGCAGCUCUCUGGAGCCAAGCUCCAAUAGCAGAGCGGGCCUGCUCUCUAGACUGCUAACCACUGUCUGACCACUGCCUCAGAAUGAGAAAGUUGACCAUCUGACAGCUCUGGCAGCACUCACAGUUACACAGAAACUCCCCAAGUGCUACAUUUCCUGUUGCAUCGAAGAGCCAAGCUGGGCAGCCUGAACUGACUCCCUCAAGCUGCCAAGGAAACCGAGCAAGAGGGUGGCCUGGGAGGGCCACCCUCCUCAUGCAUGCCUGCGUACAUAUCUACAUGCAUGCAUCGAAAUUAGUGCCUACUUGAUUGUUUGCAGCUGCUUGGAACCUCAAGGUUUGUUCCCAGUAGCAAGGGAGACUCGCGCUUCCAGAACUGAAAAGCCAUUCUAGCGCCAGGACGUUCCUGCUUCGAGUUUGGGGGAAAGGUAUUUCCCUCCCUUCCAGCAGAUCGCCAGCCCUCCACCCCGGGCUCAAAGCCUUGUGAACCUCGGUGCCACACGUGUUUACACCCCGGCCCUUCGGCUCUCCGCACGGUGCCCCGUGCGGAGUGUGGCCCUGACAUCCCAAAGCCGAUCUCCCGCCUGGGAGAGACCUGAAAGGUCCCGGGGCCUCACUGGAGCUCCUCGCCUUCCCUCCUGCAGUCCCACUGGGCCUUACACUUCCUGCCACCUGCCCGCGCCACGCG